rnacentral:rRNA from 1 species
CCCUUAGAGUUUGAUCCUGGCUCAGGAUGAACGCUGGCGGCGUGCUUAACACAUGCAAGUCGAGCGAAGCACUCUGCUUUGAUUCUUUCGGGAUGAAGAGCAUUGUGACUGAGCGGCGGACGGGUGAGUAACGCGUGGGUAACCUGCCUCAUACAGGGGGAUAACAGUUAGAAAUGGUUGCUAAUACCGCAUAAGACCACAGCACCGCAUGGUGCAGGGGUAAAAACUCCGGUGGUAUGAGAUGGACCCGCGUCUGAUUAGCUAGUUGGUGGGGUAACGGCCUACCAAGGCGACGAUCAGUAGCCGACCUGAGAGGGUGACCGGCCACAUUGGGACUGAGACACGGCCCAAACUCCUACGGGAGGCAGCAGUGGGGAAUAUUGCACAAUGGGGGAAACCCUGAUGCAGCGACGCCGCGUGAGCGAAGAAGUAUUUCGGUAUGUAAAGC